AUUGAACGCUGGCGGCAGGCCUAACACAUGAAAGUCGAACGAGUGGCGGACGGGUGAGUAAUGUCUGGGAAACUGCCUGAUGGAGGGGGAUAACUACUGGAAACGGUAGCUAAUACCGCAUACCAUCAGAUGGGCCCAGAUGGGAUUAGCUUGUUGGUGGGGUAACGGCUCACCAAGGCGACGAGACCUAGCUGGUCGGAGAGGAUGACCAGCCACACUGGAACUUAGACACGGUCCCGACUCCGACGUGAUGCAGCAGUGGGGAAUAUUGCACAGUGGGCGCAAGCCUGAUGCAGCCCUGCCGCGUGUAUGAAGAAGGCCUUCGGGUUGUAAAGUACUUUCAGCGGGGAUGCGUUACCCGCAGAAGAAGCACCGGCUAACUCCGUGCCAGCAGCCGCGGUAAUAC
rnacentral:rRNA from 1 species